rnacentral:rRNA from 1 species
UACAGAGGGUGCAAGCGUUAAUCGGAAUUACUGGGCGUAAAGGGCGCGUAGGCGGCCUUCUAAGUCGAACGUGAAAUCCCUAGGCUCAACCCAGGAACUGCGUCCGAUACUGGAAGGCUUGAAUCCGGGAGAGGGAUGCGGAAUUCCAGGUGUAGCGGUGAAAUGCGUAGAUAUCUGGAGGAACACCGGUGGCGAAGGCGGCAUCCUGGACCGGUAUUGACGCUGAGGCGCGAAAGCCAGGGGAGCAAACGGG